GAUGAACGCUGGCGGCGUGCCUAAUACAUGCAAGUCGAGCGAACAGACGAGGAGCUUGCUCCUCUGACGUUAGCGGCGGACGGGUGAGUAACACGUGGAUAACCUACCUAUAAGACUGGGAUAACUUCGGGAAACCGGAGCUAAUACCGGAUAAUAUAUUGAACCGCAUGGUUCAAUAGUGAAAGACGGUUUUGCUGUCACUUAUAGAUGGAUCCGCGCCGCAUUAGCUAGUUGGUAAGGUAACGGCUUACCAAGGCAACGAUGCGUAGCCGACCUGAGAGGGUGAUCGGCCACACUGGAACUGAGACACGGUCCAGACUCCUACGGGAGGCAGCAGUAGGGUAUCUUCCGCAAUGGGCGAAAGCCUGACGGAGCAACGCCGCGUGAGUGAUGAAGGUCCUCGGAUCGUAAAACUCUGUUAUUAGGGAAGAACAAAUGUGUAAGUAACUAUGCACGUCUUGACGGUACCUAAUCAGAAAGCCACGGCUAACUACGUG
rnacentral:rRNA from 1 species